AUUGAACGCUGGCGGCGUGCCUAACACAUGCAAGUCGAGCGGUAACAGGUGUAGCAAUACAUGCUGACGAGCGGCGAACGGGUGAGUAAUGCUUCGGAAUCUACCCAAUGGUGGGGAAUAACCAGCCGAAAGGUUGGCUAAUACCGCAUACGUCCCACGGGAGAAAGCAGGGGAUCGCAAGACCUUGCGCCAAUGGAUGAGCCGAAGUCGGAUUAGCUAGUUGGAGGUAACGGCCUACCAAGGCGACGAUCCGUAGCUGGUCUGAGAGGACGACCAGCCACACUGGGACUGAGACACGGGCCCAGACUCCUACGGGAGGCAGCAGUGGGGAAUAUUGGACAAUGGGGGAAACCCUGAUCCAGCGACGCCGCGUGUGUGAAGAAGGCCUGCGGGUUGUAAAGC
rnacentral:rRNA from 1 species